rnacentral:rRNA from 1 species
AUGAACGCUGGCGGCGUGCCUAAUACAUGCAAGUCGAGCGAACAGACGAGGAGCUUGCUCCUCUGACGUUAGCGGCGGACGGGUGAGUAACACGUGGAUAACCUACCUAUAAGACUGGGAUAACUUCGGGAAACCGGAGCUAAUACCGGAUAAUAUAUUUAACCGCAUGGUUCAAUAGUGAAAGACGGUUUUGCUGUCACUUAUAGAUGGAUCCGCGCCGCAUUAGCUAGUUGGUAAGGUAACGGCUUACCAAGGCGACGAUGCGUAGCCGACCUGAGAGGGUGAUCGGCCACACUGGAACUGAGACACGGUCCAGACUCCUACGGGAGGCAGCAGUAGGGAAUCUUCCGCAAUGGGCGAAAGCCUGACGGAGCAACGCCGCGUGAGUGAUGAAGGUCUUCGGAUCGUAAAACUCUGUUAUUAGGGAAGAACAAAUGUGUAAGUAACUAUGCACGUCUUGACGGUACCUAAUCAGAAAGCCACGGCUAACUACGU